GGGUUGUGAGGUUAAGCGACUAAGCGUACACGGUGGAUGCCCUGGCAGUCAGAGGCGAUGAAGGACGUGCUAAUCUGCGAUAAGCGUCGGUGAGGUGAUAUGAACCGUUAUAACCGGCGAUUUCCGAAUGGGGAAACCCAGUGUGUUUCGACACACUAUCAUUAACUGAAUCCAUAGGUUAAUGAGGCGAACCGGGGGAACUGAAACAUCUAAGUACCCCGAGGAAAAGAAAUCAACCGAGAUUCCCCCAGUAGCGGCGAGCGAACGGGGAGGAGCCCAGAGCCUGAAUCAGUGUGUGUGUUAGUGGAAGCGUCUGGAAAGGCGCGCGAUACAGGGUGACAGCCCCGUACACAAAAAUGCACAUAUUGUGAGCUCGAUGAGUAGGGCGGGACACGUGGUAUCCUGUCUGAAUAUGGGGGGACCAUCCUCCAAGGCUAAAUACUCCUGACUGACCGAUAGUGAACCAGUACCGUGAGGGAAAGGCGAAAAGAACCCCGGCGAGGGGAGUGAAAAAGAACCUGAAACCGUGUACGUACAAGCAGUGGGAGCCUCUUAAUGGGGUGACUGCGUACCUUUUGUAUAAUGGGUCAGCGACUUAUAUUCUGUAGCAAGGUUAACCGAAUAGGGGAGCCGAAGGGAAACCGAGUCUUAACUGGGCGUUAAGUUGCAGGGUAUAGACCCGAAACCCGGUGAUCUAGCCAUGGGCAGGUUGAAGGUUGGGUAACACUAACUGGAGGACCGAACCGACUAAUGUUGAAAAAUUAGCGGAUGACUUGUGGCUGGGGGUGAAAGGCCAAUCAAACCGGGAGAUAGCUGGUUCUCCCCGAAAGCUAUUUAGGUAGCGCCUCGUGAAUUCAUCUCCGGGGGUAGAGCACUGUUUCGGCAAGGGGGUCAUCCCGACUUACCAACCCGAUGCAAACUGCGAAUACCGGAGAAUGUUAUCACGGGAGACACACGGCGGGUGCUAACGUCCGUCGUGAAGAGGGAAACAACCCAGACCGCCAGCUAAGGUCCCAAAGUCAUGGUUAAGUGGGAAACGAUGUGGGAAGGCCCAGACAGCCAGGAUGUUGGCUUAGAAGCAGCCAUCAUUUAAAGAAAGCGUAAUAGCUCACUGGUCGAGUCGGCCUGCGCGGAAGAUGUAACGGGGCUAAACCAUGCACCGAAGCUGCGGCAGCGACACUAUGUGUUGUUGGGUAGGGGAGCGUUCUGUAAGCCUGUGAAGGUGGCCUGUGAGGGUUGCUGGAGGUAUCAGAAGUGCGAAUGCUGACAUAAGUAACGAUAAAGCGGGUGAAAAGCCCGCUCGCCGGAAGACCAAGGGUUCCUGUCCAACGUUAAUCGGGGCAGGGUGAGUCGACCCCUAAGGCGAGGCCGAAAGGCGUAGUCGAUGGGAAACAGGUUAAUAUUCCUGUACUUGGUGUUACUGCGAAGGGGGGACGGAGAAGGCUAUGUUGGCCGGGCGACGGUUGUCCCGGUUUAAGCGUGUAGGCUGGUUUUCCAGGCAAAUCCGGAAAA
rnacentral:rRNA from 1 species